ACCGCGUGGAACAGCGGUUUGGGCCGUAGCGCCUCCCUUCUGCCCCUGCCAUCAUGCUCUUCUUGGCUGGUGUUUCUCUGAUAACCGAAGUGGGAUGGUUUCCCUCCUCUGGGAAAAUAUGACAAGAGGAGGAAAGAACACAACUUAAGAUCCGAGAGAAGACUUCAUAUCUGCAUGGCAAGAACUCAGAGUGAAGAAGAGUCCUUCUUGAUGUUCUAACUCUCACAUUCACCUGGCUGAUCUUCUCUGCCCCAAGGAGGGCACCCAAAAGAAGCCCUGUUGUGGGCCGUGUUAUAAAUAAAUAGAAAUGCCUGGAAACCUGUGUAUCAGGCUAGACUCCUGCAGAGAGAGACAGCGUGUGAGCAGGGGAGGACCACAGAGAGAGGGAGACACAGAAUCUGAAGCAGG